rnacentral:rRNA from 1 species
GAGUUUGAUCCUGGCUCAGAUUGAACGCUGGCGGCAUGCCUUACACAUGCAAGUCGAACGGCAGCACGGGAGCUUGCUCCUGGUGGCGAGUGGCGAACGGGUGAGUAAUGCAUCGGAACGUAUCCUGGAGUGGGGGAUAACGUAGCGAAAGUUACGCUAGUACCGCAUAUUCUGUGAGCAGGAAAGCGGGGGACCUUCGGGCCUCGCGCUCUUGGAGCGGCCGAUGUCGGAUUAGCUAGUUGGUGAGGUAAAGGCUCACCAAGGCGACGAUCCGUAGCAGGUCUGAGAGGAUGAUCUGCCACACUGGAACUGAGACACGGUCCAGACUCCUACGGGAGGCAGCAGUGGGGAAUUUUGGACAAUGGGGGCAACCCUGAUCCAGCCAUGCCGCGUGAGUGAAGAAGGCCUCGG